CCUACGGGUGGCAGCAGUGAGGAAUAUUGGUCAAUGGACGAGAGUCUGAACCAGCCAAGUAGCGUGAAGGAUGACUGCCCUAUGGGUUGUAAACUUCUUUUAUAUGGGAAUAAAAUGUCCCACGUGUGGGAUUUUGUAUGUACCAUAUGAAUAAGGAUAGGCUAACUCAGUGCCAGCAGCCGCGGUAAUACGGGGGAUCCGAGCGUUAUCCGGAUUUGUUGGGUUUAAAGGGAGCGUAGGUGGAUUGUUAAGUCAGUUGUGAAAGUUUGCGGCUCAACCGUAAAAUUGCAUUUGAAACUGGCAGUCUUGAGUACAGUAGAGGUGAGCGGAAUUCGUUGUGUAGCGGUGAAAUGCUUAGAUAUCACGAAGAACUCCGAGUGCGAAGGCAGCUCACUGGGCUGCAACUGACACUGAGGCUCGAAAGUGUGGGUAGCAAACAGGAUUAGAUACCCCAGUAGUC
rnacentral:rRNA from 1 species